AUUUUCAGGAAUAAUGUGAAGCUGCAGCUAUUCUGACUACGCUAGCUAACGCUGCCAUUGAGGAAGGGGAAAACAUUACAAGGCGAUGUCCUAGCUCCUUACCUUGGUGUUGAAGUGCUUACUGAUGCUGCGGAGGAUGUCUGAGUCGAUGCGGGACAGGAUCUGGUCCUCUGGGGCGUGGAGCGCUACGUAACCGUAACACAGGAUCAGCGUGCUCUUCAUCUUCUCUACAUCCAAGUCAUUCUUGUCCUGAGGAGGAGGAGGUAGCUGAGGAGAGCAGGGAUCUCCUUCUCCCAGAGUGUCUCAGCGUUGGGGUGGAUAUUAGGACUUAUAACGUUCAGUAGAGACAG